AAUUCAUCUGGGGGAAAGAGGAUGAACUGACCUCUUCUAGAAUUGUAAUGCAGCAACCCAACUCCCCUGAGUGCAGCUAGAAAUCUCUCCAACACCGGCUGCAGGACAACGGAACCCUGGGUGAGUGCAUCUAGUUUGAUGGGGGAUUGGUCGGAUGACAGCUGGAACCGUAGUGAUCACAGGAGGAAUCCUAGCGACUGUUAUACUUCUGUGUAUUAUCGGUGUGCUGUGCUACUGCAGACUUCAGUAUUACUGCUGUAAGAAGGAUGAUGCAGCUGAAGAGACCCAAGAAGAUACGGUAUGUAGACAACAUUCACACUUUCCCUGCCACGAUUGCUCUUCAUCACAUCAUGAUAGGCCACCAGCGGCUUAUCUGGCACCAGCCUACUCGCCCUAUGGUUCUCCUUACUUCAUACGGACUGCAAACAGCAUGUGUAACGGAAGAGAUGGCAAUUCCUACACCCCCACUCACUACACAGAGGCAGGACCCCUCCUUGUGAUGGGGGGCACCCCAAGCUUGUCAAGAAGUCUGCAUGCCCUCAGCACCCAGGUUUGAGAAGAGGGCAAGACUUUCACCCUUCCAAAACCUUGGAACAUCAAAGCUUCAUCAACUAAGGAAAAAAAUGGUUCUCAUGCUUGCCAAAAUAAAUGCUUGACAAAAAGACUUUUGAAUGGGUAUUACAGAAACUAAGACUAAAAGCUGAUCAAUCUUCAAAGGUUGAAAAACAGAAGAUAGACUGAAGCAAACCUCUUGUCAGUAUUAACACUUUUACUGCAUUGUAAAAUGGAACACAUUUCAUAUCAGAACAAGGGCGUUCAACGUUGAAUUUAUUCAGUCUGUGAAAUGUCUGCCUGUGUUCUAAUUUCUAAAGUUCUUGUAGACUUAAAUCUGUAGCAGUUUGUAAUCUGAUGACCUCUAGCAUGUGAAUGACUUGCUGAUAUUUUAUAAUGAUAUAUACUGAUUAUUCCUGUUACUGUUUAUCUAUUUUGUAAAACUAAAAGGUGCCAAAUCUGCAUUAAUUCUAAGCUAAUAACAAAUUCCUAGAGUUAUUUAUACUUUCCUAUUAGACAGAUAGGAUAGAUUAUUAAAAAAUAGUGAACGUUUUUUUCAUACGGUCUUAUUAAUUGGUGAAAGCUGUUAAUUAGAGUCAGUCCAGAGUUCUCAUAACAUUUAGAAUAAAAAACAAAACAAACAAUUGUAUAUGUGUUGUAGAAAUAACAAGAUGCUCAAGUGGAAUCUGAUAAGAUUAAAGAGAAAUCAAUAAAACAUAUGUAAUAUUUUGUUAAAGUAAAA